GGGUUGUGAGGUUAAGCGACUAAGCGUACACGGUGGAUGCCCUGGCAGUCAGAGGCGAUGAAGGACGUGCUAAUCUGCGAAAAGCGUCGGUAAGGUGAUAUGAACCGUUAUAACCGGCGAUGUCCGAAUGGGGAAACCCAGUGUGAUUCGUCACACUAUCGUUAACUGAAUACAUAGGUUAACGAGGCGAACCGGGGGAACUGAAACAUCUAAGUACCCCGAGGAAAAGAAAUCAACCGAGAUUCCCCCAGUAGCGGCGAGCGAACGGGGAGCAGCCCAGAGUCUGAAUCAGCUUGUGUGUUAGUGGAACGGUCUGGAAAGUCCGACGGUACAGGGUGAUAGUCCCGUACACCAAAAUGCACAGGCUGUGAACUCGAAGAGUAGGGCGGGACACGUGGUAUCCUGUCUGAAUAUGGGGACCAUCCUCCAAGGCUAAAUACUCCUGACUGACCGAUAGUGAACCAGUACCGUGAGGGAAAGGCGAAAAGAACCCCGGCGAGGGGAGUGAAAAAGAACCUGAAACCGUGUACGUACAAGCAGUGGGAGCACCUUCGGGUGUGACUGCGUACCUUUUGUAUAAUGGGUCAGCGACUUAUAUUCUGUAGCAAGGUUAACCGUAUAGGGAGCCGCAGGGAAACCGAGUCUUAACUGGGCGUUAAGUUGCAGGGUAUAGACCCGAAACCCGGUGAUCAGCCAUGGGCAGGUUGAAGGUUGGGUAACACUAACUGGAGGACCGAACCGACUAAUGUUGAAAAAUUAGCGGAUGACUUGUGGCUGGGGUGAAAGGCCAAUCAAACCGGGAGAUAGCUGGUUCUCCCGAAAGCUAUUUAGGUAGCGCCUCGUGAACUCAUCUUCGGGGUAGAGCACUGUUUCGGCUAGGGGGUCAUCCCGACUUACCAACCCGAUGCAAACUACGAAUACCGAAGAAUGUUAUCACGGGAGACACACGGCGGGUGCUAACGUCCGUCGUGAAGAGGGAAACAACCCAGACCGCCAGCUAAGGUCCCAAAGUCAUGGUUAAGUGGGAAACGAUGUGGGAAGGCACAGACAGCCAGGAUGUUGGCUUAGAAGCAGCCAUCAUUUAAAGAAAGCGUAAUAGCUCACUGGUCGAGUCGGCCUGCGCGGAAGAUGUAACGGGGCUAAACCAUGCACCGAAGCUGCGGCAGCGACACUAUGUGUUGUUGGGUAGGGGAGCGUUCUGUAAGCCUGCGAAGGUGUGCUGUGAGGCAUGCUGGAGGUAUCAGAAGUGCGAAUGCUGACAUAAGUAACGAUAAAGCGGGUGAAAAGCCCGCUCGCCGGAAGACCAAGGGUUCCUGUCCAACGUUAAUCGGGGCAGGGUGAGUCGACCCCUAAGGCGAGGCCGAAAGGCGUAGUCGAUGGGAAACAGGUUAAUAUUCCUGUACUUGGUGUUACUGCGAAGGGGGGACGGAGAAGGCUAUGUUAGCCGGGCGACGGUUGUCCCGGUUUAAGCAUGUAGGCUGGUUGUCCAGGCAAAUCCGGAUAAUCAAGGCUGAGGUGUGAUGACGAGGCACUACGGUGCUGAAGUAACAAAUGCCCUGCUUCCGGGAAAGCCUCUAAGCAUCAGGUAACAUUAAAUCGUACCCCAAACCGACACAGGUGGUCAGGUAGAGAAUACCAAGGCGCUUGAGAGAACUCGGGUGAAGGAACUAGGCAAAAUGGUGCCGUAACUUCGGGAGAAGGCACGCUGGUGUGUAGGUGAAGUCCCUGCGGAUGGAGCUGAGACCAGUCGAAGAUACCAGCUGGCUGCAACUGUUUAUUAAAACACAGCACUGUGCAAACACGAAAGUGGACGUAUACGGUGUGACGCCUGCCCGGUGCCGGAAGGUUAAUUGAUGGGGUUAUCCGUAAGGAGAAGCUCUUGAUCGAAGCCCCGGUAAACGGCGGCCGUAACUAUAACGGUCCUAAGGUAGCGAAAUUCCUUGUCGGGUAAGUUCCGACCUGCACGAAUGGCGUAAUGAUGGCGAGGCUGUCUCCACCCGAGACUCAGUGAAAUUGAACUCGCUGUGAAGAUGCAGUGUACCCGCGGCAAGACGGAAAGACCCCGUGAACCUUUACUAUAGCUUGACACUGAACAUUGAGCCUUGAUGUGUAGGAUAGGUGGGAGGCUUUGAAGCGUGGACGCCAGUCUGCGUGGAGCCAACCUUGAAAUACCACCCUUUAAUGUUUGAUGUUCUAACGUUGGCCCUUACCGGGGUUGCGGACAGUGUCUGGUGGGUAGUUUGACUGGGGCGGUCUCCUCCCAAAGCGUAACGGAGGAGCACGAAGGUUAGCUAAUCCUGGUCGGACAUCAGGAGGUUAGUGCAAUGGCAUAAGCUAGCUUGACUGCGAGCGUGACGGCGCGAGCAGGUGCGAAAGCAGGUCAUAGUGAUCCGGUGGUUCUGAAUGGAAGGGCCAUCGCUCAACGGAUAAAAGGUACCCGGGGAUAACAGGCUGAUACCGCCCAAGAGUUCAUAUCGACGGCGGUGUUUGGCACCUCGAUGUCGGCUCAUCACAUCCUGGGGCUGAAGUAGGUCCCAAGGGUAUGGCUGUUCGCCAUUUAAAGUGGUACGCGAGCUGGGUUUAGAACGUCGUGAGACAGUUCGGUCCCUAUCUGCCGUGGGCGCUGGAGAAUUGAGGGGGGGGCUGCUCCUAGUACGAGAGGACCGGAGUGGACGCAUCACUGGUGUUCGGGUUGUCAUGCCAAUGGCACUGCCCGGUAGCUAAAUGCGGAAGAGAUAAGUGCUGAAAGCAUCUAAGCACGAAACUUGCCCCGAGAUGAGUUCUCCCUGAGACUUUAAGUCUCCUGAAGGAACGUUGAAGACGACGACGUUGAUAGGCCGGGUGUGUAAGCGCAGCGAUGCGUUGAGCUAACCGGUACUAAUGAACCGUGAGGCUUAACCUUACAACGCCGAAG
rnacentral:rRNA from 1 species